CCUACGGGAGGCAGCAGUGGGGAAUAUUGCGCAAUGGGCGCAAGCCUGACGCAGCGAUGCCGCGUGAGGGAUGAAGGUCUUCGGAUCGUAAACUUCUGUCAGCAGGGAAGAAGGGUCACUGUGCUAAUCAGCAGUGAAUUGACGGUACCUGCAAAGGAAGCACCGGCUAACUCCGUGCCAGCAGCCGCGGUAAUACGGAGGGUGCGAGCGUUAAUCGGAAUUACUGGGCGUAAAGCGCACGUAGGCGGUAUGUCAAGUCAAGGGUGAAAUCCCCGGGCUCAACGUGGGAACUGCCUUUGAAACUGGCAAGCUGGAGUGUGUGAGAGGAGAGUGGAAUUCCAGGUGUAGGAGUGAAAUCCGUAGAUAUCUGGAGGAACAUCAGUGGCGAAGGCGACUAUCUGGAACAUAACUGACGCUGAGGAGCGAAAGCGUGGGUAGCAAACAGGAUUAGAUACCCCUGUAGUC
rnacentral:rRNA from 1 species